rnacentral:rRNA from 1 species
UACAGAGGGUGCAAGCGUUGUUCGGAAUUAUUGGGCGUAAAGCGCGUGUAGGCGGCUUUGCAAGUCGGGUGUGAAAGCCCUCAGCUCAACUGAGGAAGUGCGCCCGAAACUGCAGAGCUUGAGUGCCGGAGAGGGUGGCGGAAUUCCCCAAGUAGAGGUGAAAUUCGUAAGAUAUGGGGAGGAACACCGGUGGCGAAGGCGGCCACCUGGACG